UACGGAGGGGGCUAGCGUUGUUCGGAAUUACUGGGCGUAAAGCGCACGUAGGCGGAUCAGUCAGUCAGGGGUGAAAUCCCGGGGCUCAACCCCGGAACUGCCUUUGAUACUGCUGGUCUUGAGGUCGAGAGAGGUGAGUGGAAUUCCGAGUGUAGAGGUGAAAUUCGUAGAUAUUCGGAGGAACACCAGUGGCGAAGGCGGCUCACUGGCUCGAUACUGACGCUGAGGUGCGAAAGCGUGGGGAGCAAAC
rnacentral:rRNA from 1 species